rfam:Brachypodium distachyon strain Bd21 chromosome 1, whole genome shotgun sequence.
AUUAUACUCCCUCCGUCUAACAAAAGAUGUCUCAAAUUUGUCAAAAUUUAGAUGUAUCUAGACAUGACUUAGUGUAUAGAUGCAUUCAAAUUUAAUUAAAGUUGAGACAUACUUUGUUGGACGGAGGAAGUAUGAA